CCUAGCGCUAUGCUGGCCGACAUGUCAACAACUAACAACAUAGCCCAGGCUCGGAAGCUGGUGGAGCAGCUCCGCAUCGAGGCUGGAGUGGAGAGGUCAAGGUCUCCAAAGCCUCCUCGGAGCUCAUGAGUUACUGUGAACAGCACGCCCGGAAUGACCCCUUGCUGGUGGGAGUGCCUGCCUCAGAGAACCCCUUCAAGGACAAAAAGCCUUGUAUCAUCCUAUAGCUCCGUCCUCCUGUGCACACGCAGCCUCUCUCCCUGGCAGGGCCAUCCCCGUUCAGUCUCAAUUUCAAGCCAAACCUGUCCUAAGUCACAAAAACUCUCAACAGCCAAAAACACCCCCAGCAACACUGCGGCCACAGCCACCACCACCAUGAGGAGGGGGAAACACUAUGCUUUGUGUUGGGUGGAAAAUCAAACCCAGCGUGCCCACGAGGCGGGGUCCGCAUGCCAAUCUGAAGCAGUCUAAACGUCCCUGGGAGGAGGAGGGGAGGGGCAGGGCUUUGAUUUUUUUUUUUUUUAAGAUACUCUAUUGCCAUUUAAAUCGUGGUUUCAAAAUAAGGGUAGGUGGAGAGACAGGAGGGAGACCUAGGGUGUCUGCCAGUUAUUAAGGGACCCUCCCAUCAAGGUCACCGUGGCCCUGGGUUGUAAUUCUUCCUAGACUGACCUGCCAUUCAGAGACUCCGGUUAGAUUGGCAGGAGUUCAGAUUUAAAGGAAUUGCUCAUUCUUUUAAAAAAAAGAAACCUACCCUUUCAUUUAAAAACGAAAAAUAAUAUGGAAAUUAUGCAUUGCUAAAAUGGGACUAGGGGGAGGCUAUUUUGACAACAGUAUCAUAUAAAGGGAUAAUGAAGGCAUGGAGGGGGGGAGGGGGGGCAGAGGGGGAUAGGGAAGGGAAGUCAUCCGUGGAUCACAGCAUGCGUUUCCCAGCUCACACAACAUAUGGCAUUUGUAUCUUCACCACCACAUUGUGGGCAGCAGUCUCUCUAGAGCACCCCAGCCUUCAAGGGAGUCAGUUGACAGUGGCUUGAACUGGGGAGUGCCCAUGUCCUGCAUUGCCAAUUC